rnacentral:rRNA from 1 species
UACGUGCCAGCAGCCGCNGUAAUACGUAGGUCCCGAGCGUUGUCCGGAUUUAUUGGGCGUAAAGCGAGCGCAGGCGGUUAGAUAAGUNUGAAGUUAAAGGCUGUGGCUUAACCAUAGUACGCUUUGGAAACUGUUUAACUUGAGUGCAAGAGGGGAGAGUGGAAUUCCAUGUGUAGCGGUGAAAUGCGUAGAUAUAUGGAGGAACACCGGUGGCGAAAGCGGCUCUCUGGCUNGUAACUGACGCUGAGGCUCGAAAGCGUGGGGAGCAAACAGAAUUAGAUACCCUGGUAGUNCACGCCGUAAACGAUGAGUGCUAGGUGUUAGACCCUUUCCGGGGUUUAGUGCCGCAGCUAACGCAUUAAGCACUCCGCCUGGGGAGUACGACCGCAAGGUUGAAACUCAAAGGAAUUGACGGGGGCCCGCACAAGCGGUGGAGCAUGUGGUUUAAUUCGAAGCAACGCGAAGAACCUUACCAGGUCUUGACAUCCCUCUGACCGCUCUAGAGAUAGAGUUUUCCUUCGGGACAGAGGUGACAGGUGGUGCAUGGUUGUCGUCAGCUCGUGUCGUGAGAUGUUGGGUUAAGUCNNGCAACGAGCGCAACCCCUAUUGUUAGUUGCCAUCAUUCAGUUGGGCACUCUAGCGAGACUGCCGGUAAUAAGCCGGAGGAAGGUGGGGAUGACGUCAAAUCAUCAUGCCCCUUAUGACCUGGGCUACUCACGUGCUACAAUGGCUGGUACAACGAGUCGCAAGCCGGUGACGGCAAGCUAAUCUCUUAAAGCCAGUCUCAGUUCGGAUUGUAGGCUGC